AGGUGUGUAAUAGAAAAAACCAUCCUUGGUCAGUGAUUGUCAGACUAGAAGGCGAGCCAUAUAACAGGGAGACAUUUGAAAUGAUUGUCAAAGAGGAAUGGGAAGACAUUGAAGAAUUACCCCCUGUCCAGUAUUACAUGGGAUGUUUCUGUCACGCAAGAACAAAGCUUUUCCAUAACCUAUAUCAUUUUGGACAUUAUCUGUAUUUUAGAUGCAAGAAAAUGCUGGAGGAGCUUGGUAGUGCGAAUACUGACACUGUGGCCACAGAUAAGUCAUUGUUAAAUGAGAUGUAUACCAAGUUGAAGAAAUGGAUGAAGGAAGCAGAGACAUGUUAUACUAAGCACGAUGAAAGGGCAAAAAGUAAAUGGUGCCGGGAAUAUAAUUUUUGAAUUAAAUUAGCAAUCACCUUUUAGUUGGAAUUUUACGAAGUCAAUAUUAUGUCAUGGACAAUUUAGUAACAUACAUUACAAAAAUAAUUCUAGCAAUAUUGACUUUAAUGCAUUAACCUUUACCCUGCUUAAUUUCUGAAAUGGACUGGUCUAUCAUUCAGUUUGGGCAGUAUCAUUUAUCAUUCAAAGGGUAGACCAGGAUGAGUCGGCACGGAUGUUCAGGCUAAUCUUGGUCUGCACUGGUCGCAAAGGCAGAAUCACUUGCCGCCAGCAGACUAAAAGUUAAACAAUAUAUUAUACUGAGAAAUCAUUAAUAUUUGUAGGGGACUGCCUUUUUGUUUAUUUUGUGGUUGAGACAAUCAACAAAAUAUUAUCCCAAUAACUGCCACCCAUUUUAUGUUCAAAAGCUGAAACAAAAAAUUUCAUGUCUGCAAAAUGAGGAUUUGGCACAAACCACAAAAAUUCAUGCCCUAGAAACUUAAUGAUUUCACAGUAAAUAAAAGUUUUUGUAGUGAAAUUUCAGAAAUUUAUACUGAAAUAUUGGACUUCCUUUUGUACAGCAAUAUGGUGUAAGUAUAAUGUAAAAAAACAUUUUUGAGAGCCAAAAAAUAGUAGCAUUCUCUGAUGAAACUUUACAUUUAGAAUUUCGGAAUGGAAUCGGGUGUUCACUGUUUCUAUCAUAGAUGUUUUGGAGUGUUUUUCCGGCCGCAGGCCGAUAUUGAUUUCACGUUUACUUCCUGUAAAUAUCUGGGGUGAAGGUCAUUUAACAGCUGAUUAUGACUGUACAUUUUGAUUGGUGGAUGAAAAACUCCACAGGGUUUCGAAUGGAAGAGAUGAAGUUUUCUUAAGGGGUGUGCAGACGCACUGAGCUGCAUUGAACAAGACUCCUGUAGAAAUAGCUAACGUCAUAAACCUGAAUCUCCUCGGUAGUGAAACUGCGGCAGAGUUCAACUACAAACCUGCAAACUCUGUCAUUUUGAUGCGGCGUAAUCUCCCGUAAACGAUUUACAGUCAACUCAUCUCCUAGUCAACUCGUCCUCCCAGUAAACUCGUCCCCUUUAUGGUUAUUUCGUAUCCCUUGACGAUUUCAUCUACAUACAAAACAUGAAAAUUUUACUUUAAAAACUAAAUUUUGUUUUGCUUUUAUAAAUACCCGAUCGAGUGUAAAAGUGCAGAGUGCAUUCACGUUUCGUAGCUUAAAGUGUGCAUAAACUAAUGCGGCCGUGUGUAUUUUUUAAAGAUACUUCUUGUUAAUAUUGAGGAGAAUCACAGAGAGCUUAAUUGAAAUAGCCUUGUGGUAAAAAACCCACAUCCAGUGUGUGAAGUAGGGGUUUGCUUCUAGGCAACACAAUACGAAAAGGAAAAGAAAAGUGCUACCAGUAGCUCACAUGUUUGGCACUCGACAUUCAUGCACUCUCGUUUCAAGUGAUAACAGGAAUGAGAAGUCGAGGGUAAUUAGUAUAUAUGUUGUAGAACUUGUUUCACAAUGGUCUAAAAUAGAUUAGUAUAAACCAGUAGAAUGGCAUUAAAAGCUUUGGAAGUCAAUGGUCUUACUUAGAUUUUACGGAUGAAAGUCAAUUUGUUAAUAGACAUUUUAUUAUUAUACCCCAAGAUACUAGGGAGUACUAUACUGGUUUCCGGACCGUUGGUCCGUCACAGUUCGUGUCCGGUCCAUAACUCUGCAAUCCAUGAAGGGAUUUUGGCAUAAAUGAUCCCCAUAAUAAGACAAUGUGUAAUGCGCAAAACCCAGACCCCUAGCUUCAAGGCCAAGGUCACACUUAGAGGUCAAAUGUUAAUAGGGUAUAUUACAUGUCCGGUCCAUAACUUUGCCAUUCAUCAAGGGAUUUUGAAAUUGCUUUGCACAAAUGUUCGCCAUUAUAAUAAGACCGAGACCUCUAGCUCUAAGGUCAAGAUCACACUUAGAGGUUUACAUGGUUUGUUUCUUGUCCUGUCAAUAACUGCCAUUCAUCUAAGGAUUUUAAAAUUACUUGGCACAAAUGUUCCCUAUAAUGAGUUGAUUUGUCAUGCGCAAGACCCAGACCCCCUAGCUCCAAGGUCACCUUUGAACAUUAUUGGUAUUUUUUGUCUGGUCUGUAACUUUUUAUGCAUUGGUGUAUAUUCAAAUAACUUGGCAUAAAUAUUCGUUAUUAUUAGACAUUGUGUCAUAUGCUAAGAUCAAUGUCACAAGCAGCAGAGUUUACUUUCAGUUUUUUUGUUGUUGUUUUAUUUUGUUCUGUAUAUAUUACUUUUCUUUUAUAUGAUAAAAUACAAUACAUGUGUUUUUAUAUCAGUCUUCUCACUACUUUAGAAAUGAAAUAAUGUUUUAAGUAAGAUCACUGGUAUUGAUGGAUAUAAAAAGCAGAUGAAUUCAGGCAACGAUGAGUGCAACUUUAAAGAGGGGACCGGACUGUGAAAAGAUUUCAAGAUAUGAGGGUAGCAUACCUUGAGGGAAAUAAAAGAUGUGGAAAUGGUGAUAUCAAAUUACAUAAUCGUCGGUCAGCGAUGCACUAUACAAUUCAAGUGGCAGAUACAUGUCGCUGCUCGGGUAUUUGAUGCGGAAUAAUACAAACAGUUUGUGUUAAAUUUUAUAUAGAGCAAUAGUCGUAGAUAAAUUGAAAGUUUUCGGCAUCCAAAAAUUGCAUUCUAGAUCUAAAUACGUAAUUACAUAUAUAUGAAAAGCAUUAAACAAAGUAGUGUCUGCUACCAUCAAUGACAUUUCCUUUGGUUUGAAAUAGUGCAUGAGUUGGAUUUUAAGGCUAAUAGGUUAGAAAGAUAUUUUUUUUAAAACUAGCAAUAUAUAAAUUACAUAUCUGUUAAAUUGACUAAGGAAACAUGUAUGUCAAACUUUGAUCACCUGUGCCAAGUUGUUCGAAACUGUAACGGGCUGUCAAACUAACCGCCCGUUUAAUUUUGAUUAAAAAUAUUAUCAUUGCUUGGAAACACUAGUACGUUUACUAUAAAGACAUUUUAGUGUUCUUAAUCAUUAACUCAUACAUUUGUUUUUCUAAGUUUUCUAAAAUGUUGAAGUAUAACUAUUAACUUAAUCAAUCAUUAGCUUAAUCGCCUGUUAAAGUUUUGAACAACUAGGCCCAGGAAAGAAGUAUUGAAAAGUGUAUCAAUCAAGUCAUGCACUCUUAUCAUCUACAUAUUAAAACAGUUAUGACGUUUUAUCUCAUUUGAAAUAUGUCAAAAUAUAAAACAUGACGGUGAAAUUGUUUGCGUGACCUAAAAUCCUACUGAGUUAGAAAACUAUUUGGAAUAAUCGAAAGAAGAUGUAAAAACUACUUGGAUAUAUAAUCAUAGUAUUUAUCUGUAUAUUUCGAUGUGGGUUCGGUUGGAUAUAUUUUAGAGCACACAUGUUUUUAUUAUUCACUUAAUACGAACGAUUUCUUAACUGUUAAGGGAUAUGUUCCAUGAUAUGAUAUUUUAGGAACAUACAUGCAUUUCUAGAAUACAAAAAGUGUUUUAGUUUUGAUAUAGGUGCCUUUCAAGUAUACAAUAAAAAGCAAAAAAUAAAAAUAAAAAUAAUAAAUAAUAAACGUGCUCAGAAAAAAAUAUCAAGCAAAAAUAACUCACUGUACAUAAUGUUUCAUAAUUGGGAAAUAAUAAGAUGCGUAAACGCUUACAUUCAUUUUCAAAAUUUUGUUUCUAUAAAGGAACUUGAUAUAUGCAAUUGUCAGUUCAUAAUAUUAAUGUACUUUAAAUUACAUUAGGUUAGGGGAGCCGACCAUUUGAUAUCCUGGUGGGAGCAGGGGUGGCGUGUUGGGGCUUAUAUGAAAAGUCUGAUUGGAAUUACUGAAGAAAUAUUUUUGCUCCGCUAAAUGGAAAACAGUAUUGCCGCCAAACCACUGCAAAAAGUCAAAUUUAUAUACUAUAUAGUAUAUGAAUAUACUUCCGUAUUUAUAACCAUAUUCUUUUCUUUUAAAUUGUUUUUAAAUUCAAUAUUUUAUUGUUAAAUAAUAAUUCUGGUAUAUGUAUCACUACAAAACAGGAAGAACAAUAUUUUCAUCCAUGUUUAGAUAUUUAACGCUGCUUUAGAAGAGUGCAGGUUUGAUUUCAAAGUAUUAAAACUGUAUGGUGUAAUUUUAAUUACAUAAGAUUAUUUCAAUAAUUUUGAUAUAUGAACUAUAACCUUAAAGUAUAUAUAGGCGUUAGAGCUGGGUCGGUUUUAAAGGACGGGGCAUCAUCUUUUAAAGACAUAUUUUUUUCAUGUUGUUAAGAAAAUUUUUUUUGUAUUGAUAAGGCCACACUGAUAAUGUUAUCUUUAAUCUCAAUACAAUUCAGCAUUUGUCUUUCGAAAUAUUCAAAACCAUCUGUGGUACCAUUUCAUUCAAGGGUCUCACACCCAAGUAAAAUUUCCAGUUCAAAAGUAUAGUCGGCUAAACUAGAGAAACUAUAGGAAUGUUACCACACUUUCUUAAAAUAACAUUUUAAACAAAUGGUCCCAAUUACUUAGACAAAAUGUGAAAUAAAGAUGUUAAUAACUUUAACCUUUCUAACAUGCAAAAUUUGAGCUUAAAUAUUUCCCUAGAAAAUAUCUUUUUCUUUGAGUGUAAGUGACACAAAACACUAUUGAAACGUCAGUUUAUGACAGAAAUUUCUUUAUCUCAAAACCCACCAGAAUGCACGAUUCAGCGUUUGAAAUAUCAAAAUAUCCGGAAGAGAACCCCAUACCUUUACCUGCAGGAUGGGUUCCCCGCACAAAAAUCUCCCCUUCCCCUUACCCUCAUCCACCCCUCAAACCUCCACCCCAGAAGUUCAUGUGGUAUGCCCCUUAUGCGCAGAAAAUUACUGUGCUUUCGAUGAACUCCAAAAGUCGCUAUAAAAAUCUAUCUAUUUAAUUACAGGAAAUAUCUUUUUUUCGGCCAGAUUAAAUACUUAGAGGGAAAUCUAUUCCGUUGUUUUAAAUUUACAUUUCAGAAAUACUGUUAUAUUAGGCACAAAAAACAACUGAUAAUUAAAUACUGUAUUUAAUUUUCUUUUGAGUAUAAAGUAAUUGAAACGAUAAAAGAGUGGAAUUUCGCCAAAGGAUAUAUACUCAUGCCUUGGGAUUCAUAUUUCUGUCAUAAUUACAUUUCGUAUUGAAGACCGGUGCCAGGGCUCGACAAAUCGACUCGUCCACUUGUAAAUACGAGUAGAAAUUGGCUCCGGUCGAGUGAAACUUGCUUAAGUAUUCGUCCUGCAGGACGAUUGCGAUUUUCACCAAAAUAUAAUAAAUCCAAUUAAGCCGUGAAGAAGCCGGGCAACAAAAAGAUGGAUCUAAAACGAAAGGUUUGAUGAUCGCUAUUCUAAACUCCGCUCAAUUCCGUUUCGGUACCGCAUUAUUAUCGCAUGCAGGACGAGCUGCUUUCAAAGAAUUUGUCGAGCCCUGGGUGCGGUAUGCUAAUUGUUAAGUACUAAAUACAAAAUGUAUAAUAUCAGUUCUCUAAUAGUGAAAUAUGCACAUUUUCACCUUAUGACGCGCCUGGCUCAAAAAGUAUUUCAUACAAAUUGAUGAAACCUUGCGUGAGUCUGUAUCGUGAUAUAUAAUUGUGCCCCUCUUAUUUUUUGUAUGGCUCCAUCCCUUAUUUUUAAAGUUAUGGACACUGAAAUAGUCAACAAUGCACAUUUUGACCUAAUGACUAGCCUAGCUCAAAAAGUAUUGGAUGUAAAUUCAUGAAACCUUGCAUGAGUCUUGAUCAUGAUGUAACCUUGCACAUAUUGCAUUCUUCCUGAGAAUCUUAACGCUUAUUACAGAGUUAUGGUCCUUGAAAUAGCCAAAAUAGUGGAUUUUUUGUUUGUGAUGCUCAAAGCUCAAAAAGUAUUUGGCCUAGAAUAAUGAAUCCUUUAUAUGAAAUAUUUGUUGAGGAUAUACCCCCUCAAGACCGCAAACAUUUGAAUUAUUGCCCCUUAUUUGUGACAAAUGUACCAAUGGGGGCACACCCUGUGUCCUACAGACACAUUCUAGUUUAUAUUUUUAAUUGACUUUUAGUAUAAAUGUUUGUCUUAUUUAAACAUUUAUGGUAAACAGUUUCGAUACCAUGUUCUCAUGGCCGGUCGAACAUGUUAUUGCUUCAGAUUGAACUGGAAGAACAUUAGUUGCUUUUAAAAAUAAAAUUUCAUUUAAUAGUUUAAGAGACUUUGAACUCAGAGUCUGGCAAGUAGCAUUUAAUCAUUCGGCAGUUAACAUUUAGUAUUUGACAUUAAGCAUUUAGCAUUAGGUACAUUUUGUAUAUGAAAAAUUACAUUUGGUAUUUAGCACUUAGUAUUUGACAUUUAUCAUGAAGUAUUUUUGGAUUAAUCAUUUGGCAGUUAAUGUGGUGCACCAGUCUUCCGUAUCACUUUUGUGUAUAGAAGGAAACCAUUAUACUGUGUUAUUUAUAAGCUAUCAAAUGUGUUCUUGUGUAUGUUGUAGUUUUCAAAGCAGAAUGACACUUUUGUAAAUAUCACUCGUGUAUGUUUCCACACAUCUGUGUUUUUUUCACAUUCUUUUUAUAAAAUAGCACAUUUUAUAUGUACAGAAUAGAAUGCAGAAUACAAAUUUUAUUCAAAGUUGGUAUAUCUAUAAUUAUAAUAACAAAUAUAAGCGAUGUAUCGAACGAGAGGCAGAUAAAAUAAAAAGUGCAAAUGCUGCGUCAUAAUAAUUUAUCUAUAUGCACUUAGACUUCGUUUGCAUUAAUUCCUCGAUUCGUUUAGUGUACUUAAAGUUAGUGCCAAUAAAAACGCUAUACGAAAAUGCUGGAUGCCCGAUUGAUUUUAAAUGGAAGCUAACUCGUGACUUGCUUCUGCCGUAAUAUCCAGAAUAUCCAGAACAUGUAAGACUCCCGGUGGAGACGAGAUAAGGUUUUGUGGACGUGUAAUUUAAACAUAGCAUAUCAAGUGGUUGCGUUUUUAUUGGCAUUACGUUAUGAUUAUAUAUUAUAUAUUUUGUUUAAUUGAAUGAACAAAACACACACACAUACACACACGAACGCGCAUACAUGCACGCACGCACCCUCUUUACAAAAUACUAUUCCUUUGUAUUUAUCAUUAGUGUUUUUAUUUUUUGAUGGAGACUGCAAAAAUGAUCACAUGCAGGCUAAGAGACUUGUUUGAGUUUCCACUCCCUGUAUUAAAACUGUUGUAUGAUAUUACAGUUUCUAUUCAAAUAAAUUGAAGAUCAGCUAUUAUAUUGAAAUUCAUAAUAUUGUUUCACAACAUCACAUUUCUUGGCAAAUUUAACUAAAACAUUUCGAAAAUUAAAAUCGGUUACAUUACAAUGUAUGUAUGAAUAACAUUAUUCCAUUUUACUAUUUAUUAGAGUUUAUCAUUUUUUAUAAAUUGUAUUGAGCAAUGCAUGUAAACUAAGUGAUUACAAUGUGUUAGCUAUGCUUAAAAUAACAUUUUUCAUUUAAGGCAUUACAUGCUGUUGAUUUUCAUGUUUUUGUUUAAAUAUUUUCAAUUCUGUAGUUAUUUUGUAGAAUUGUCUUACAGGAUAUGUCUUAAGUUGAUCACCAAUAAUCUUUUUUAUGAACAAGAAAUUGAAAAUGAAUGAAUGUUACACCAAUUUUCAAUAUAUAUGUCCCCUGUGCACCUGAAAAAUAACUCAAUUUGGGGUGGAAAAUUUUGCUAUUAAAAUUAAUGGCCAUUCUUGAAAUUUGGCAUGUGGUUUAUAUAGUUUUAGAUAAGCUCCAAAUUAUGCAUAUACACUUAUUACUUGGUUCUUGUGUCAGGCUAAAUUUUUAUAAAGGACCACAAUAUAAUAAGAAUUAGUUUCCUUUUCUGUGUCAUCCUUAUAGUUUAAUGUUGUGGCA